rnacentral:sRNA from 1 species
CUAGUCACCCCAUCCCUCUCACUGUCACUAGUCACUCCCUCCCUAACUCUGUCACUGUGAAGGAAGGAAGGGGUGACUGGUGAUAGAGUGAGGGGAUGACUGGUGAUAGAGUGAGAGAGGGGGUGACUAGUGACCGAGUGAGGGAGGGAGUGGGUGACUAGUGACAGAGUGAGGAAGGGGGUGACACAGUGAUAGUCACCCCAUUCCUCCCUCUGUCACUAAUCACCACCUCCCUCACUCUCACUAGUCACACCCUCCCUCUCUCUGUCACUAGUCACACCCUUACUCACUGUCACUAGUCACACCCUUACUCACUGUCACUAGUCACACCCUCCCUCUCUCUGUCACCAGAGUGAGGG